CUCAGAUGUCGCAGGGCUGGAAGCAGGGACUGCUCAAGGACAAAUCUAUCUUCCUAAAGGGAUGAAAUGAUGCAAGCAAGAGUUCUUUCAUUUAAAACCCGAGCAGCAGCAGCGAUGCUGAAAAGAACAAUCACGGAAGAAUUCAUUCCUGCAGGAAUGUAAGAGCUUACAAUUUAACUGCUAUGAACCAUGGAGACUGGAACAGCUGCCUCCCAACACUGGGUGAAAUACUUUUGCUCUGGAAGCCAACUGGGAGGCAGGACUCCUGGGUUCUUUUUCCUGGACCUCUUGAUUUUGUGCACCAUCAAGUCCCCAUAUUGCCUUCUUGUUUGCUCUGGAGAGAAGGGAGCAUCUGCCUCUGAUGGUAAUAAAUGCAGUUUCUGGAUACUGGGAG
rnacentral:lncRNA from 1 species